rnacentral:rRNA from 1 species
AUUGAACGCUGGCGGUAGGCCUAACACAUGCAAGUCGAACGCGAAAGUCCUUCGGGAUGAGUAGAGUGGCGGACGGGUGAGUAACGCGUAGGAAUCUAUCCUGUAGUGGGGGAGUAACGUUUCGAAAGGAACGCUAAUACCGCAUACGCCCAACGGGGGAAAGGACGGGGGAGUCUUCGGACCUCGUGCUAUAGGAGGAGCCUGCGUCGGAUUAGCUAGUUGGUGAGGUAAAGGCUCACCAAGGCGACGAUCCGUAGCUGGUCUGAGAGGAUGAUCAGCCACACCGGAACUGAGACACGGUCCGGACUCCUACGGGAGGCAGCAGUGGGGAAUAUUGCGCAAUGGGCGAAAGCCUGACGCAGCCAUACCGCGUGUGUGUAGAAGGCCUUCGGGUUGUAAGCACUUCAGUGGGGAGGAAAAGGACUGGUGGC